rnacentral:rRNA from 1 species
AGCGAACGCUGGCGGCAGGCCUAACACAUGCAAGUCGAACGAUCCUUCGGGAUAGUGGCGGACGGGUGAGUAACACGUGGGAACGUACCUUUAGGUUCGGGAUAACUCAGGGAAACUUGAGCUAAUACCGGAAAAGCCCUUUUGGGGAAAGAUUUAUCGCCUUUAGAGCGGCCCGCGUUCGAUUAGCUAGUUGGUGGGGUAAAGGCCAACCAAGGCUCCGAUCUAUAGCUGGUCUGAGAGGAUGAUCAGCCACACUGGGACUGAGACACGGCCCAGACUCCUACGGGAGGCAGCAGUGGGGAAUCUUGCGCAAUGGGCGAAAGCCUGACGCAGCCAUGCCGCGUGAAUGAUGAAGGUCUUAGGAUUGUAAAAUUCUUUUAGCAGGGACGAUAAUGACGGUACCUGCAGAAAAAGCCCCGGCUAACUUCGUGCCAGCAGCCGCCGUAAAAC